GAAAGUUUUUUUUUAAAGAAACCGGUCUUUUACUGCAAAAAAUAAAAGAUAAAAGCGAUUUUUGUUUGAAGUAAAGAAUGUUAUUCUUAAAAAAGAAGAAAGUUUUCGUGUUUUAGGUCCUCCUGAUGCAAACGUAAAAGUUGAAAAAAUUACACUCCGAGAUUACACUAAAGACAUUUCGCUAGCACACAUGGGACUAGAUUUAUUAAUCGUUCAUUUGUAAGUCAAAAAUAAUAAUUAUGCAAAACAAAUGAUAAAACUUCCCAAUUUAAAAUUGAGAAAAAUCCGACAGGAAACCAAAGUACAAAGGUACGGCAUUUAUUUAAAAACAGUCUGCAUCCAACUUCAAAAUGUGAAGGUAAAUCGAUUAGUUUACGCUAGCCAAGCAACCAACAAACAAAAUAAAUCUUGCCUCCCCGAUGAAGACUAUCUAUAGACACGGAAUAAAAAAUAAGGAAAUAAUAGCAUGUUAGAUUGGUUACAAACACAUUUAUGCAAACAUGAAGCAGCUGUUUCUUUACUGAACUGGUCAGUGGAAAUACAAAACCAGGGUUUCAAAAAGAUGAAGAAAAAGAAAAAGACAUUUAAACAUGUUAAAAUUUAUUUAAAAGCAAAUCAGAAAUAGUGUUUCACUGAAAUUGAAAAAAAAGAAUCAUAAUAGUCUAUAAUAUGUAAAAAUUUAUAUCAGAAAGCUAACAGCAAAAUGAAAGGAAAAUAUGUGUUGCUUAAGAACAUUGACCUGGGCCGUAACAGCCUCAUGUUUGAAAAUUUAAAACAAAGUUGAAAUAAAGGCUUGUCUUCAUAUCAAAUUGUUUUCACGGCGAAUGUCUUGCAAGAAGAAAACUCCCAUUACUCCGGUCGCCCCUCAUAAAUUCUUGCAUAAUUUUGCGUGAUCCAUGCAUGAUCAUGCAUGUUUCUGAAUUACUUGUCUUUUGUGCAUUUACUUUC
rnacentral:lncRNA from 1 species